rnacentral:rRNA from 1 species
AUUGAACGCUGGCGGCAGGCUUAACACAUGCAAGUCGAGCGGAGAUGAGGUGCUUGCACCUUAUCUUAGCGGCGGACGGGUGAGUAAUGCUUAGGAAUCUGCCUAUUAGUGGGGGACAACAUUCCGAAAGGAAUGCUAAUACCGCAUACGCCCUACGGGGGAAGGCAGGGGAUCUUCGGACCUUGCGCUAAUAGAUGAGCCUAAGUCGGAUUAGCUAGUUGGUGGGGUAAAGGCCUACCAAGGCGACGAUCUGUAGCGGGUCUGAGAGGAUGAUCCGCCACACUGGGACUGGGACACGGCCCAGACUCCUACGGGAGGCAGCAGUGGGGAAUAUUGGACAAUGGGCGGAAGCCUGAUCCAGCCAUGCCGCGUGUGUGAAGAAGGCCUUUUGGUUGUAAAGCACUUUAGGCGAGGAGGAGGCUACCUGGAUUAAUACUCUAGGAUAGUGGACGUUACUCGCAGAAUAAGCACCGGCUAACUCUGUGCCAGCCGCCGCGGUAAGAC